CCUACGGGAGGCAGCAGUGGGGAAUAUUGCACAAUGGGGGGAACCCUGAUGCAGCAAUGCCGCGUGGGUGAAGAAGCACUCCGGUGCGUAACGCUCUAUCAGCAGGGAAGAAAGGAAUGACGGUACCUGACUAAGAAGCCCCGGCUAACUACGUGCCAGCAGCCGCGGUAAUACGUAGGGGGCAAGCGUUAUCCGGAUUUACUGGGUGUAAAGGGAGCGUAGACGGUUACGCAAGUCUGGAGUGAAAGGCGGGGGCCCAACCCCCGGACUGCUUUGGAAACUGUAUAACUGGAGUGCAGGAGAGGUAAGUGGAAUUCCUAGUGUAGCGGUGAAAUGCGUAGAUAUUAGGAGGAACACCAGUGGCGAAGGCGGCUUACUGGACUGUAACUGACGUUGAGGCUCGAAAGCGUGGGGAGCAAACAGGAUUAGAUACCCUAGUAGUC
rnacentral:rRNA from 1 species